GAUAAGAACGUAGCGAAAUGCGAUAAGUAGUGUGAAUUGCAGAAUUCAGUGAAUCAUCGAAUCUUUGAACGCACAUUGCGCCCCAUGGUAUUCCGUGGGGCAUGCCUGUUCGAGCGUCAUUUACCCCCUCAAGCUCCGCUUGGUGUUGGGCGUCUGUCCCGCUUCGCGCGCGGACUCGCCCCAAAGGUAUUGGCAGCGGUCGUGCCAGCUUCUCGCGCAGCACAUUGCGCUUCUCGAGGCACCGGUGGGCCCGCGUCCAUCAAGCUCACCCCCCCAGUUUGACCUCGGAUCAGGUAGGGAUACCCGCUGAACUUAAGCAUAUCAAUAAGCGGAGGA
rnacentral:misc_RNA from 1 species